rnacentral:snRNA from 1 species
AAACCACACUCGCAGUCAACAGAA